CCGGCCUCCGCCCGGCUCGCCGGGCCGGCCUCCGCCCCCCUCCGGACUGCAUGAGCCCGACCCGCCAGAGGCCAGAGUCGGCCGCAGCGCCCCCAUCGCUGCUCACCGCCCCUCACCGCGCGCUACCCCGAGCCCCCUGCAGCGGCGAAAGGAUUUGGCUCGGCAGCUCCGGCCUAAUUCGUGCGCCCGGAGCGGCGAGUCUGGCCACGAAAAUGAGCCCUCCAGUCUUUCCCGCCCUGCGUUCCCACUGUAUACAGUCAGGUUUUUAAAAUAUAUUAAAAGACACGCUUAGGCCGUAGGGUAGGCAAAGCGGGCGCCCCGGCAGUGCGCCCCCGCUGCGGCGGAUUUGGGAGGGACAGAUUGUUCCCGGGGGCUGGUGUGUUAGAAAGCGUCCUCCGGGCGGGCUUCUCCUGGAUGGUAGUAAGAACAGACGCUGGGAGGGCUCGGGUGGGCUCUGGGCCCGAAACCCGCGCCCCCAGCCUGAGGGCUCGGUGUCUCCGUUUCUGUUUGCAAUCCUGGUGUGGUCCAGGCGGACAGGGCAAUGCUGGCGGGGCGCAGCCCGCAGUCCCAUGGCUCGCACGUUAACAGGGACUGUAAUCAACAGGCAAGCUGCCACACCAGCCCACCGACACCUCCUGGCCAGACGCGGUUUCCAGGCGAGCGGAGGCUUCCUUCCGCACGCUGGGUGGGGUGGGAUGCUGUAGGCCAGAGAAAACACUAGAAGCGAUGGUGCCAGAGAGGAAAGACAAAGCAUCUCCGAGUCACCUCGGGAGAGAGACACAGAAGUGGCAGCUUGCAAGGCUAUCCACUUUGUCGACUUUCUUACUAUACAAGGUCAUUGUUCAGUAAGGCUUGGUGGUACACCUUGCUGCAGCUUUCAUCUCUUCUCUCCAUCAGCCGUGCUGAGACAGUUUCUCACCAGACAUCAGCCCAGGGGAACCACCGUCUCCACAACUUCCAAAGACAAAGCAGCAGGAGGACCCAUUUGAAAAGCCCACCAUUUACAAUAUAGAGGCACUGAGGGCAAAGGACUAAACUUCACCUUCAGAUGCCUCAAACAGAAUGGUCCUUGCAAGGAAUCUGAAAACUGGCAGUGAGUGUGUAAAUACCAAACUGACCUCCCUCUAAAGGAGCAAGUGACACCAAUUUCAAAUUUCCCUCCACCGAUAAUGGAAAGGAGCAGACGAGCAAGGCUUACAUCCUGUCAUCCACCAGUGCAUGGAAGCACUAACCAGGCUUUGGAAUAAAUGGGCAUCUUUCCUUC